UUACAGGGAGGCGCUCGUGUCGGCGAGCAAGAGGGUUGGCGGAGUGGAUGUCACGGUCGCAGGUAAUACAGAGAGCGGCUGCAUCGGCCUUGCAAGUGACGUGAGCGGGCGCUUGCUCGCAGACUUCGCAGACCCAAACUCGAGCGUGACGCGAGGCGAGCUUGUUGGCCGCGUGGAUUUUGGAGUCACAGUUGGAGCAUAGAAACGCCGAGUCAGCCCGGCAGAAAAGAGUCGCCGUCGCUGAUUUGCACGAGUCACACAACUUCGAUGCCAUUUCAACAACCCAGUUUGCUAGAAGUUAU
rnacentral:lncRNA from 1 species